GUGGUGAAGAAGUAAGAUGUUAAAAUGUUUAAAAAAAAAAUCUAAGGCAAUGAGGUUUAAAUCAAAUGACUGCUGAUGGGCACAUGUCUGGGAUAAUAAAGUAAACAAUGCAUGGAUAACAUAAUAGGGAGUUGUUUUCCCCUACACUCAGCCUCUUGUCUUUAAAUUCCAUUACUCCAACCACUAGUGUCUUUUGUGAGGAAAUCUAGAGGUGAAAAAAAAAUAUUGUUGGACACAAUAAGGCAAGAAACUUUAAAUCUUUCUACUACAAAUAAACGUCAGCAAACAUAUGUAACAGUCUGCUGCAGAAAGGAAUCCAUUUUAAAUACUAAAUGAUCAAUGUGCAUUGCGGGGUGGGGGGAGAAGAGAUAUUAGGAAGUUCCCUUGUGGCAUAGUGGGUUAAGGAUCUAACAUUGCUGCAGCUGCGGUGCAGAUUGCAACUACAGAGUGGGUUCCAUCCCUGGCCUGGGAACUUCCACAUGUGGCAGGUGCAGCCACGGCCCCCCCAGAAAAACAGAGGUAUUAGAAUACACUAACUCAAUAUUUGAAAAGGGGUCACAAUAAAUAUUCAUUAUUUGAUUUUAAAUAGUAUGUUAAAAUAUUUUACAUAUUUACCUGGUAUAAACUAUAAUUUAUAAAACAUCAAAUUUUAAAAGGAAGUUCAAUCUAAAUGUUAUCCAAAUAGAAUCAAGCUAAAUAAGAUGAUAAUUUUUAUACUUCUUCGGAAACUUUUUAAAUUUAGGAUUCCAAAAUAAUGAGAGAAAUAGAAUUUCUGAGUCCAUCAAGAACUUCCUCCUUCCCAUUUUUGAAUUAAAAAUUCAGGCAGAGUCUGGGCUAUGACUUUUUAAUGACCCAAACUCCUUAUGAAUUUAGGGGUCAUAAUCCACUUUGGUAUUCAGAAAACAAAUUGCUUCAUUCACUUUACAAGUUUACACCUGUUUUAUCAUCAAAGAAUAUUAUACCAUACAACCAGCUACAGCAGACCCACUGUUAAGCAAAUUUGUUAAAUGAGCUUUCCCAUCAUUUUGUGGCAAGCCCCUUUAUGAGCCAGAUCAUUAUACUUCAAAAUCAUGUUCCAAAUAAUAGUCAGCUGACCAUCAGCACCAUCAGCACCAUCAGCACCAAUUUGAGAGCUUAUCAUAAAUGCAAAAUCUCACCCCAGACCUAAUGGUUUGUGAGUUUGCUCUAUUGUUUAAGAAUAUUAACUUCUGCUACUUAAGGUCAAGAAAACAAACAGAUUGGAGGAAACUAAGAAGUGAUCAUCCUUGAUGGUAAAUAAGCUAAUAGAGACUCAAGCGCAGAUAAUGAGAGCUUAUAAGACCAGGACAAAAUUCACAAGAUAUGUUACUCAAGAUAGUAACCUGUAAGAUAUUCCAAAAUAGAAAAUAUAGGAGUUCCCGUCCUGGCGCAGUGGUUAACGAAUCCGACUGGGAACCUAUGAGGUUGCAGGUUCGGUCCCUGCCCUUGCUCAGCAGGUUGACGAUCCAGCGUUGCGGUGAGCUGUGGUGUAGGUUGCAGACUCGGCUCGGAUCCCGCGUUGCUGUGGCUCUGGCGUGGCUAUGCCACCUCCGAGUCUGUUUCCAAUGAGAACACCCAGUAACAUCCUAUUCUGGACCAUUGGGUGCUCUACCCAAGAAAUGCAAAUAACUCUCAUGGCUCAUCAGCAGGCAAACUGGCAAAGCUACAGCUGUAUCUGAGUGUACUCAUCAUAACUCUUCAAUACAGCAAGUAUGUACCACUAGCCCAGGGCAUCAUUCCUCUGUGGUGUUCUCGCUCAAACAUCAAUUCCAAUCCUAAUAACCACAUCACCAAAAGGAAAGGCUGACAUGAUAGAGGAACAGGACAUAUGAAUACAAUGUACACAGGACUCGGAUAGCGUAGUCUUUCCUUCCAAAAUUGCUUGCACCUUAAGUGUGUUAACUACCCCAUCCCCACAGCUUUCUUCUUGCUUUUGGCUGUGUGUUUUAAACUGAUUUGAUAAAUCGUGUGAUUCAAGCAUUUUAAUUUGAUUCCCGGGCCUGUCUAUUCCAUACCUCCGGGAUAGUGGGUAGCAUACUUGGAGGCUAACCAUUGCAUGAAGGUAAUUUCCCACAAAACACCUACUGAGUAAGAAAUAUGCUUUUUAAAUAUCCCCAGGUGAUUCAUAUGCAAAUUUAAAUUUAGAAGCACUGAGCAGGACUGUUAGAAAGAAAAAGCUGCACAAAGAAAUUUGGAUUUCAGAACUACGCUUGGAACACCAUCUUGAAUAAAAGGCCUCAUGAACCCCCCUGACAACAACUCAGAGCCCCAAAAGAGGGCGAGAAUGCUAAGGGAUCCAUUUCAACAGCUAUCAUUUAAGGCUCAGAGAAGCACUGCUGCCCUUGAACCCUAGCUCUGUAAAGCUCCAUACAACUUGAGAAAACACACAGAAAAGUACAGCAUGAUGUAGCUCAACAUUAACCCUGCAAUCUCAUCUUGCUGGGAAUUAGGAAAAUACCCUUUUUUCAGAUAUGCUGAAAAAUAUGGUUUCAAGAACACCAAUCCAAAGGACAUUAGGCUACCUGAAACAUGCUUCCUUAACAAGCUUGUAAUGAUGAUAUUAGACCACCCAAGAACAGAGUUGAGCAGAAUGACCUAAGAAGUGACCUGAAUGGGCUGCACACAUCCCACCUACCACCAACUGAUGACUCAGUCGGCUCCAGUUAUUUUACGUAUUUAUUUCAUUUGCAUUGCUACUGACACAUAGUAAGGGCACAGUAAAUGUUCAGAAUUAACAGAAAAAAUAAUUUAAAAUGUCACACUUUCAACCAUUGAUUUAUCUAACACAAAUUUAAUUCAAUUUCUUGGUUUUGAGAAAUUCCUGGGAAUGAAGACAUAAUUCCACAUCUCAAAUUAGCAUGAAUCCUAACACUCCCAAAUUUCAGAUCUUAAAGUUGGAUUUUAUAUAUUCCAUUAUUCCAUUCUAAUUUUCCAUGACACUAUGAAACACGUUAAUUUAUCUAUUAAGAAACAAUCCAACCAUUUCUAAAAGUCACUAACAAUUAAUACAAGGGAUAUGCUACACAAGAAAGGUCAGCUAUUAUUUCGGUAUUUUUCUAGGUCCAGAUUUAAGUCAUCUUAAGGAAGCAUCUAUUUAAAAUAAAAUAUCUAUGGACUGCAAUAGACAGAACUGGAAUAGAAACUGAGAACAUCUUCACACACACAAAAGUCAUAAAAAAAACUUUAAAACUAAGACCAAAAAUGUUGAGAAUAUUUACCCUAGUGAAGAAUAAGAUGAGAAUACCAGGAAAAGAAUGUAAAAGUUCCAAAGAUCAUAUUUGUUAAGGAAUAUGCUCCCUAUUAUUGCUGAAAUAGGGAAUGUAUUUAAGUUGCAAAGGAAAAGAUUUAGGUUGGAAAUUGUAACUUCUCAUUCCAUAAAUAAAUCUUUAUAAAAGGAAUAAGGAAACACACUUAGGGGAUGGCUGAGUGUAUUCCCUUCCAAAUGAGCUAUCAAAUCCUGUUCACUCCAUGCAUUUAGUACAGCCAAGUUAAAGUAUUCAUAGGACAUUAGACACUUCAGCUCAGGUUUUUACACUGUUUCAUGUGCUUAAGAACUGACUCUACAAGCUCACAGAGGCAAGAGGUAACCUUAUAGAUUUUUGUGUCCUUUGCAGCUAACAGCAUGAGAAGAGACAUAUGAUAAACCUGCACUAAACACUGAAUUUAAUUAUUACCUCUCUCUGAGGCAAAAAAAAAAUCUUGAGAAUAAUCUAAACACUACCAUCAUCAUCAUUACCAGUAGAAAAGUAGAGCUCAAAAUUUCCAAGUGAAUCCACUUACAUGUUAUACAACGGAAACAAGAAAGAGUAAUUGUCUCAUUCAUUACAAAGGGCUAAGAAUGAAUCUUCUGUUUACAAACUUAAUCCACUCCAACUAGUACUUUUAACCGCCCACUAAAACGGAGUGCAUUAUCUUUCGCAAAUCUGAUGAGUGAUCUGUGUUCUUAAUGAAAUGUGUUACACGUAUAUAAUCUAUUUCUUUCUUUAUUAUAUGAAAUACACAAUCAUGUGAAAAUUAAGAAGCAAAAUGUUAUAAGCAACAGAAGAAAAAAAUCACAUCAAUUUCAAAAUCUCAUAUCCUAAAACCUAGUCUGUUCACACAUGAACAUCCAAAUUUCAAUGAUAAAUCCUUUAAAAUCCAUUAAACCUCUUACUGUGCAGCUAUGUUUUGAGCAGCACAGGACCCAAAUACAAGGCUGAUGCCCCAUUUGGUUGAGUGGAUAGUGUUCUACCUGAUAAAUUUUCAUAAGCUGCUAUCCCCCAUUAGGGAGUCAGUCACUGGUUUUAACAAACUCCUUGAAGAGUUCAUUUCAGUUAUUUCUGCCUUGCUAGAUGUGUAGCAAUUUAAUCUCAUUGCUUUCUUCCUAAAGGGUGAAAAAAAUGAUGUUCGAACAAGAGCACUUACAAAGGGGACAUGAACGGUGAAAUUUAGGAGCUGGCUGGAUAGGCCUGAGGGAAGGGCACCUCUAAAGAGAGUGCCUAUAACCUGGGGGGCAGGGGAGAGAAUAACGAAGGUAGGAAAGAGCAGCAAAGAAAUUUAGCUUACUUAGAAACUAGAUUCCCAUCUCUAGUAGUUAUUUCAAACAUAGUUUAACUUGACAUGUCCCAUUCUGAUCCAGAACUUGUGCUUUACACUAAUGAGAGGGAAGUUUGCCUGCUAACACCAGUAAAUAAUUUCAUAGAUUAUUAUUUUAUUUCAAAAAAGUAUUUCAUAAUUAAAGCAAGGUCAUAUUUAUCUCUAUGUAAACUAUAUGUCUUAUAUGAAAGUGUCAUAAGAUGGAAAGAACAGUAGACAGUGACUUUAGAUUUUGAGGAGAAAAUUUAAGAAGAUGCCAUAUCCAAUUUCAAAUUUAUCAUAUAUACACACUGUGUAAGCUAAAAGCUCCCAGAAAGUGGUUUCAAACUACACAUUCUGCCACCACAACCCUCCAGACUCCCGGAGGAGGGCAUGCCAGCAUGUUGGGACAGAGCCGAUGGGCAAGUACACUUUGAAAAAGCACUCCAGGAGAUUCUUAUACUCAACCAAACACCUCCUGCCCCAUUGCCAUUAUCAGCUAAUAAUGUUUCACCACCCGCUGAGGAUGUAUUUUGUGCUAUUCUUCUAUUCCAAAUGUUAACUAAGUGAAGUCAUUAGAAUAGAGCAUCUGAAUUCAACUGGCAUUUAUCCAGUUUUUAAGAGGUAAAAAUAAAUUCAUGAAUGGCAAAUCAAUUUAAUGUCCUUUCACACAAUUUCAUUUUAAAGCUACAUAACAAAUUCUGAAGUCAAAGCUAUUUAGACUCAUAGCUUUCCAAUUAAAGUAUUUAAGUCCGCUAA
rnacentral:lncRNA from 1 species